UUUAUGUAGAGUUUGAUCCUAGCUCAGGAUGAACGCUGGCGGCGUGGAUAAGGCAUGCAAGUCGAACGCCCAGCACCACUUUUGUCGUAAUGGAAAUUUCCAUUGUUGCAAAAGUGGUGCUGGGAGUGGCAGACGAGGUAGUAACACGUAGGUACGCACCCCAAAGUCGGGAACAGCUCGUCGAAAGACGGGGUAAUUCUCGAUGGUUCCAGCACUUAAUUUUGGUUACAAUGAGAAGAUGUUUUAUGUGUAUUUAAUCCAGAGUAAGAAAACCAACGAAUUGUAUGUUGGCUAUACUGCGGAUAUUAUACAACGAAUGCUCUCGCACAAUAAGGCGAAUAACACUGCUACAAAACAUGGAGUUCCUUGGGAACUUAUUUAUGUAGAAGGUUAUCGAAGCGAACAUGACGCGAGGGUACGAGAACAAAAAUUAAAACAUCAUGGAAAUAGUAAAAGGUUUGUAAGAGAAAGAAUCAAAAAUAGCCUUUUGUAACCAAAAUUAAGUGCUGGAUAAAGAUUUAUCGCUUUGGGAGCGGCCUGCGGGCUAUCAGCUUGUUGGUAGGGUAACGGCCUACCAAGGCUAUGACGGCUAGGGGAGCUGAGAGGCUGACCCCCACCGAUGGAACUGCGAAACGGUCCAUACACCUACGGGUGGCUGCAGCCGAGAAUAUUCGACAAUGGGCGAAAGCCUGAUCGAGCGACGCCGCGUGAUGGAUGAAGUCCUUCGGGACGUAAACAUCUUUUAUGAACGAGAAAGUCCAGCACCACUUUUGCCGGAAUGGAAUUUUCCAUUAUUGCAAAAGUGGUGCUGGAUUGAUGGUAGUUCAUGAAUAAGGACCUCCUAAACUCGUGCCAGCAGGAGCGGUAAUACGAGUGGUCCAAGCGUUAUCCGGAAUUACUGGGCGUAAAGGGUGUGUAGGCGGUCUUAUUAGUCUUUUGUUAAAUACUUCGGCUUAACCGGGGAACUGCAAAAGAAACGGUAAGACUAGAGGGUGCGAGAGGUCUAUGGAACUCAUGGUGUAGGGGUGAAAUCCGUUGAUAUCAUGGGGAACACCAAAGGCGAAGGCAAUAGACUGGCGCAUUUCUGACGCUGAAACACGAAAGCGUGGGUAGCGAACGGGAUAAACUCGCUCACUUUUUUCUUUUUGAAAGCACGCGUUCCCCGACCGAUGUCGGGGCCGCUCUGCUCCCGAGCACAACAAGU
rnacentral:rRNA from 1 species